CCUUGUCAUUCUUCUUGCCCGGUGUUUAUCACUACUGGACGGAGAACUGAUAAGGGC
rnacentral:pre_miRNA from 1 species